ensembl:lncRNA
CACGUAGUGACUUCAGACAAUAACCUUUGACAUUCCUCACAGGUCUGUGGGUCAGAGGGUUCCCUUGCUGGUCUGGCAUGGGCUUGCUUGCACAUUGGGGCAGCUGGACCCCGGGGCAGGCGUGUGGCCUCUGAGUCUCAUGGGGUCCAGUGACCUGCUCCCCCAGCAGCAGCAGUGUUUCAGGAGGACACAUUCCAAUGUGUCACAGCCCAUGUGCUGGUGUCGUGCUGGCUGGGGCAAACCCAGGGGCACGUCCAGAGUCAAUAUAGGAGGGGCUGCCCUGCGCAGAUGGUGGGAAGGGUGACUCACCAGGACCUUUGCUGUCACAGUGCGUCUCACAGUCUGGCACAGAACUCUCCAGAACAUGGACAGCUUGCCCAGGGAAGCACAGCAUUGCACAGCAAUUUGUUCCCGUGUCCUGCGGUGGCUUGUUUCUGCCGACGUCGCCUGUGGAGUGUCUGGACAAGCCCUAGACGGGCAUAAACCACUGGUUCUGCCAUCCUGGGAUGAAAAAGGAUUGGGCGUCCUCUCUGUCACAUUCCUCUUGAAUCUGUGUCAACCACCUGGGCAACUGAAGUAUGCUUGGCGUCCACAGGAACCAAUCGAGCUGCAGCAGUGGCCUCCCAGCCACGAGUCAACAAGCGUGACUGUGAGCCAGUCACGGUGUGAGCGUCUGAUGUAGCACGCGCCUUCCAGGCCGGUCCUGGGCGCGAUGGCGAGUUUCCACCAAAAACUUGGAAAUUAGGAAAACUGCUACUCUAAGAGAUGAGACAUAGUCUACGGCCAUAGCAACCGCCCGAUCUCAUCCGAUCUCGGAAGCUAAGCAGGGUCGGGCCUGGUUAGUACUUGGAUGGGAGAGAUGAGACACAGAUACAUCAUUUGAAAGACAAGGAACCACCAGGCUGGCAGUAAGUUCACUGAGUAAAUGGUUAGCCCUGGGCUGUCCAAUACGGUGACCACAUGUGGCGGUUUAAGUCAACAUUAAUUAAAAGACAAAAUAAAAUUUAAAAAUCAGUUUCCUUUCA